CAAGGAGGAAGGUAAAGUCAGGAUAGAAUUUCCUGUCAGCCCCAAACCAAAACUCUUCCACUUCUUCUCCCCAGCCUCUCUCCAACAUGCCAACUUCUCUUUUUCCCCCAGUUCAGCAGCUCUCAAAAGAGCCUAGGUGCAGAUAAGACAGGAAGAAAAAAAGUCUUCACAGAUGAAGGUCGUUCUUACCACCUCCCUCAGAUCACACUGACAUAAAUAUUUCUUAUGCUCCCCAAUUCCUUUCCUUGCUCCACCUUCUCAAAUAAUUGAAGCCCUGUUGCUGACCUGGACCUUUCCUGGUGCGUUAACUCAGUCCUUCUCACUGAAGUCUGUUAGGGAUGCCACAAAGUGGCAGCAGGCCUUGCAAUAACAAAGUUCUCACUGUCACCUAUUAAACCCAGCACCCGCAGAGCUGCCUGUCAGCUUCCAGGUCUGCAUUUAGGAGGGGCGGGGCUCAAGCAGGGUCUCAACUGCAGGGGCCAGACGUUUUUCCUGAGUCCUGUCACAUUCAGCUACAGGGCUGGACCCACAACACAAAGUGCAGCUCAGUUAGAAAGAGGGGCCGUUAGUGUGACCUCAAUUUCUUGACUGAUCCAAAAAGAAGCCGCUGUCCGUUUCUGCCUACAUCAUGGUCCCCCCUCAAAGCCAGAUGGAACCCCAGAGUCAGCCAGUACGGUCUGUGCAGAGUGGAAUGCCCCCUCCCCAUUAGCGGGAACCUGGGAUCUAGGUGUCCUAGCUCCAAGUACCGCUGGCACAGCACUGGGAGGCGGGGCCACAGUUUAGACUGGGUCUAAGAUUCCUCAGGGGCAAACCAGGCCGGACGCUGGACCAGUCCCUCCCUCCAGGCGGCCGCAGCAGGGAAGGCCGGAAAGAGCAAGGGUCCCUGGGGGACAUCCACAGGGGCCUAUCCACCCUUCCCCCCACGACCUCCUCCCAGAUCCGACCCGAAACCAACUCCCCGCAUUCCCACUCGCGGAAGGCCCCGGAGCCCCGCCACCAUGUGUCGGCCGAUUGCGGCCCUCAGAACCCCCCAAAUGGAGGCCAGGGCUGGGGGUGCCGGAAAGAUGAUCCGCCUGGUCCCGAGGGGCGCGUUCUCUGCUGGCGUGCUCGGGGAGACGAGAUUGUUACCUCCUGUGACUCCCACAGCCUGUUUUCAGAUAGGCACUGGUGACUCUGGAUUUCCACAAAUAGGGACACUGAGGUUGAUACAGAAUGCUUUCCCAGGAAGCCUAAGGGAAGAGAGAAGUACUUCCCAAAUAACUGGAAGUGGAGGUGGAGCACCAGAGGACCAAGGGAAGAGGGCCACAUCAUCCCACUCCUCCCUGAUCACAAUUAAUGCUUAAUUUCCAAAGUCGAUGCUUUCUCUUCCCGUUUACCCCACACCACCUUCUAAGUUCACAGUCAUCUUAGAAUUCUCCCUCACUUGAAG